rnacentral:misc_RNA from 1 species
UCUCCGUUGGUGAACCAGCGGAGGGAUCAUUGCUGGAACUGCGUCCUCGCGGCGCACCCAGAUACCCUAUGUGAACUCGAAUCUUUGUUGCCUCGGCGCCGAGCCGGGAGGUGCUCCAGGCCCUCCCCCGCGCAAGCGGAGCAGGCCCGCCGGCGGCCAAGUUAACUCUUGUUUUUACACUGAAACUCUGAGAAAAAACACAAAUGAAUCAAAACUUUCAACAACGGAUCUCUUGGUUCUGGCAUCGAUGAAGAACGCAGC